GAUGAACGCUGGCGGUAUGCUUAACACAUGCAAGUCGAACGGUCACUUCGGUGAUAGUGGCGGACGGGUGAGUAACGCGCGAGAAUCUGCCUUCAGGUCGGGGACAACAGUUAGAAAUGACUGCUAAUACCGGAUGUGCCUUUGGGUGAAAGAUUUAUUGCCUGAAAAAGAGCUCGCGUCAGAUUAGCUAGUAGGUGGUGUAAGAGACUACCUAGGCUCCGAUCUGUAGCUGGUCUGAGAGGACGAUCAGCCACACUGGAACUGAGACACGGUCCAGACUCCUACGGGAGGCAGCAGUGGGGAAUUUUCCGCAAUGGGCGAAAGCCUGACGGAGCAAUACCGCGUGAGGGACGAAGGCUUUUGGGUCGUAAACCUCUUUUCUCAAGGAAGAUGAUGACGGUACUUGAGGAAUAAGCAUCGGCUAACUCUGUG
rnacentral:rRNA from 1 species